GGAUUUUUAAACAUGGUUAAAAUAAAGUACUAUUAGAUAGGAAAUUUGCAUCUUUAAGGUAUCUCAUGAAAAAAUCUGAGCAUUUUUACUAAACCAAAAAAUAUUGAUGCGCCAUUAUUCUUCGCCUAACCAUACUUAAAAGUGGAAUAUCUCGUCAACGGGUUAAUGGAAAUCAAAAAUAUCAAUACCAAAAUGUAUGUAAACUAAUACUUCACAUAUUUAUAGGAUUUUUAAUAUAGGUUGCCAUUUGGAAAUCAAAAGAAUGUGAUUCAUAACCAAUCAUAAUGAUAAUGUUACAUUUUGGAGGAGUUACUUGAUUCUUAAAUUGUGAAAAAAAAUUAUUACUUUUCAUAUCACUAUGACCAUAUCUUCAUGAAACACCUGUAUAAUAAUUACUUGAGCUUGUCACUGAUUGUGUACAGCAUUUAUAAAUAAGGUCAAUAGAAGGGGCGCAUGAAUCCUUGUAUCCUCUCCCUGGAUACGCUACUGGCUAUAAUCAGUGAUUUUUUCAUCGGUUAUACUAAAUAUACGCUGUGUACUCUCAAUAUCUAGUUAAAAAAACUGGGUUUUUUGCAUAUCUAUAUUAUCAAAUAGUAAAAACAAAAUUAUCUAUUAUCAUUGCUCAUUAUCUUAACACUUUUGACACUAAAACCAAAAUUGUAAUAUUUAUUACAGUAAUUAGGUACAACUGAAAAAUACACAAUUUUUCAACGAUUUAAAAUACUUAUAGGUUCAAGGGGUAGCGAGAGAUCUAUUGGUUUUACUAUGAUGUGUGCUUUUAUUAUUAUUUUAUUUCUGUCUGUAAACAAAUUGUCUACUAAAAAACUUGCUCCUAAGUAUAGACUAUAGCACCUAUUCUAAAAGGUAAUUUUCUUUAAAUGGUACAUUGGGGUGGUCAGUUUUUGAUUUUCUAAGGGGUUUUCAAAAUAAUUGGGACAAACCCGAAAGAAAAUUAAAGGUAAAACAGCAAAUAUUUACUGCGCGCCGCGGCGUCACCGUUUUUAUUCACGAUGUUUUCUAUAUAAAACAUUAUAUCCAUUAUCCUAGGACUUUUUUUUAAAUAUAAUUUAGUUAAAAAUAUUUGCAGAGACUUGACAUUGUGACAGAAAACGUAUAUCUGUUUUUACUGGACGUAGUAAAAUGUUCAAACUAUUUUUGAGCUAUUUAUAGACACUUUAAUUUUGCAAUUUUUUCACGUAAUUUUUAUUUGGUAGGUAAUCAGUGAAUAAAAUUGUUAUACCAAACAGAAAUGCUUGACAAUUUUACAAAAAAAUAAUCGAGUUUAAUGAAGUGAUUUUUUUUAAUAUAUAAAAUCAAAUUUUAACGAAAAUCGUAAAUAUUGAUAGGUAUUCUUAAAAUUCUAAUUUUGUCUUACCGAACUUCGCUCCGAAUCGUUUUUCGUUAACAAUGGUUUGUCGUUUUUUGCGUUGAUUGCAGAUAUAAAUUAAAUAACUUUGUAUUUUUAAUUUUCAACCAACAACAGUUGUUGCACCAGUGGCAGCGCCAGAAAUUUUUCUCAGGGUGGACCAAAAGGAGGCCAAAAUAUAUUAGGACAGGCACAGUCACACAAUAUUCAAAAAAACGGGGAGAGAACGUCCUUAAUUUAGACUCCCCACUUUUUACCCUCCGUAGACCGUAUAUAAGUACAAUAUUUAUCUUUGUAAUAAAACAUUGUUUAUUUAAGCUCCUAAGGUCUUUGAGCACUCCCCCCCAUUGAAAAAUAAUGGUUGUUUCACAGUCAAACUGACCAGUAAUUUCGAUAAAUAUGUUUCGGCUAGUGUAUUUAUCGGGUAAUAAUUUAAGAACAAAAUUAAAAGUAAAAAGGCAAUCCAAUAUAUUUUAUUUAUUAAAACAAGAUAAUAUUAUAAAUCUAACAAAUUUAGAUUUCAAAGUUAUAUAAUUUAAAACAUAUCAAUACAUUAACAAACCAUAACUAGGUAUCUACAUAAUGAAUAUAGGAAAAAAAAAGCUAUAUAAAAACUAAUAAAACUAAGGAAAAGAAGACAAUUUGUUUAUUAUAUUAAAAUUAUUUACAUUUUAAUUAUAAUUUUAGUUCUAUAAUAAUAGUAGUAG